rnacentral:tRNA from 1 species
GGGGUAAUCGGCUAGCUUGGUUUAGGCUUCAAGCUUGGGGUCUGAGGACAAAAUGCUUGCGACCUGGGUUCAAAUCCCAGUUAUCCCA